GCAGUGCUGCGUGAGGCAAAGUCCGGGCUCCGCCGGAAAAGAUGCCGGUUAACGACCGGGGGGCAGCAGGUAGAACUGCUGCCAACAGAAAGUACUACAGAAAAUAACCGCCUGCAUCUUGUAUGCAGGUAAGGGUGAAAAGGCAGGGUAAGAGCCUACCGCAUUUUUGGUAACAAAAAUGGCAUAAGCAAACCUCAUCUGGAGCAAAAUCAUAUAGCGGUUUGGUAUUCCGGCCUUAUUACCGCGGGUAGGUUGCUGGAGACGGCGGGUAAUCGCCGUUGCAGAUAGAUGGCUAUGCAAUCCAGAACUCGGCUUAUUUUU
rnacentral:RNase_P_RNA from 1 species